rfam:Mesitornis unicolor contig79743, whole genome shotgun sequence.
GCCCGGCUAGCUCUGUCAGUAGAGCAUGAGACUCUUAAUCUCAGGGUCAUGGGUUCAGGCCCCACAUUGGGCA